rnacentral:ncRNA from 1 species
AUAAAGUUUAAUUUUAGCUUAAAAAUUUAUUUAAUUUUUUUUUUACAUGUAAAUUUUCGUAUGUUUUUAAUUAAAUUUAAAUAGUUUAUUUAAAAAAAUUUAUUCACAGUAUUUAAUUUUAAUAAUUUAAGAAAUUAAGAAUUAGAAAUAAAUUUUAAUAUUAACAAAUUUUGUGCCAGCAGUUGCGGUUAUACAAAAAAUGUAAAUAAAUUUUGUUAGUAAGUAAAUAUAUGAAUUAUUAAUUUUAAAUUAAAAUUUUAUUUAUUAGGUGAAAUUUGAAAUAAAAAAUUAAUUUAUAAAAAAGUUUUUAAUAUUAUGAAAUUUAUAUUUAAACUAGGAUUAGAUACCCUAUUAUUUUAAAUGUAAAAUAAAUUAUUAAAGUAGUAUUAGUUAUGUUCUUGAAAUUUAAAAAUUUUGGCGGUAUUUUAGUCUAUUUAGAGGAACCUGUUCUAUAAUUGAUAUUCCACGAUUAACUUUACUUAUUUUAUAAAUUUGUAUAUCGUUGUUAUUAGAAGAUUUUAAUAGAAAAUAAAUUUUUAAUAUUUUAUAUUAUAAAAUAUAUCAAAUCAAGGUGCAGUAUAUAUUUAAGAAGAAAUGGGUUACAAUAAAAAUAUUUAAACGGAUUAAAUUUUUAAUAAAAUUUAUAAAGGUGGAUUUAAUAGUAAUAAAAUUAAAUUAAAUUUUAUGAUUUUAGCUCUAAAAUAUGUACAUAUCGCCCGUCGCUCUUAUUAUAAAAUAAGAUAAGUCGUAACAUAGUAGAUGUACUGGAAAGUGUAUCUAGAAUAAC